GCUCUGCUUCCCUAUGAUCCUUGAUGAAUUUCAAUAUGUUGUAUGUGCACUUACUAUUGCAGAUGCACAUUGGCAAGGGUCUUAAUGAUUCUAGCUCCUCCCAUACAACUUUUAAAUCAGUAAAGAAAGUGGAAAUGCUUCUAUCACAUUGUUUCAUGGAGUGAAACUCUUGGAGUAAAUCAGAGGUUUUGAAAUGGUCAUCCAUGGAGAACCUUUCUUUAAGAGACGACCAUUGUGUUGCAGCUCUCGCAAGCUUCAUAGAUUGGGUCUGAUGGAUUUGGCUCAUGAAUAACCCCAUUCACAAACUUAUACUUGUUCUCUGAAAACAAAGCCCUUCUCAUCGAUCUGCUCCAGGAGUGAUAGUUGCUUCCAUCAAGAGAAUGUGUGACUAAGGCAAAACGCGAGUUUUCUCCAGGAUGAAGGUAGAAGGGGUUUGAUGUAGGACUUUGCAACCCAUCCAUUUCUGAGUUGGUUUGAAUCAAUUUGGCUUCCAUCUUGAGUGAGUUCUUGCAAGAAGGCUUGAGUAGUGCAGUUUUGGUGAUGAAGAAAGAAAUAGCAGUUUUUCGGAUUGCAGAGAUGAUGUAAUUGAUCAACUAUGGUGAUCGAAGGUGAAAAGAAAGAAAAAAGGAAAAUGGCGCAACAGAGCUCUCAGGUUGAGAGCUCUGAUACCAUAUUUGUAAC